AAACACAAGCAUUGCCUCUUAAGUAGGGCUUCAGACAGGUGCCUACCAAUAACAGUAGGUCUUCCAGACUACAUGAAGAUCAAGAAAUUAUACCUCAGUGGUAUGAAAACCACAAGCAAUGUGAAGCAAAGUUCAAAUGAACUUAAAGCAACUUAGGUACCUGUGGAAACAGCUAAACCAAUCAGUACAAAAUCCAGACAAUCAAUCAACAGUUAAUAUCACACAGACAGACAAAUCCAAUCAGGCAACAAUGGUGCAAGGUACAAGACA
rnacentral:lncRNA from 1 species